UUUUUUUUGCUCGACUAACCAGGACAUUGGUCUGGAAAUGAUCAUUUGACCUUGUUUUGCUUGGGGUAUAUGGCGUUAGAACUAUCACUUUCUCUUUACAAUGAAUGUUGAGGGUACUGAUAAGCUCCUUUUGUGGAGUGUAAAACUAAUAGCAUGUUUAUUUAGCACUGCAACAAUAGCAUAUAAAUAUAUGGUCCUUCUCAUUAUUCUGUAAUAUUUCUUGAUAUAAUAAAUUUAUAAUUCACAUGAUAGGAGUUUAAUUAUAUACCAUCAUGUCUGUUAAUUUAAGAAAAUACUAGCUUGCAGCUAAGCUCACUGUUGGAGACAUGUUUUUGCUGAGUUAGGGUUCUUUUGUGAAGACCAUUGAUAUGUAUUAAUCUGGACAUGUUCUCGCUGAGUUGUAUCUUGGGCCACCUUGCUUUUCUUAUCACGUGUCGUUAGAUUUCUUUUAUUGCAUCUUCCGUUAUAUUUGUCCAAAGUAGCGGAGAACCUGGACUUGAGACUAAGAAAAUUUCCUCCAUUCUUGCAGGAUGAUCAUUGAUUCAUACCGUUCUAAGUUUAAAGCAUGUUUUAUGUGGUGUGGUACCUUUGGUUCAAGACAGUGAAGAUAAAGGACAGGGAGGUCAGCUGCCAGAAAACGUGUUUGGCAAGGAUGCAGUUGUUGAUCCAAAAUCAACCGUCGAACCUCUGCCUCUGCCAAAAGAUAAAAAGUGUGGGACAUAACCUGUGAAACAAUCGACCGGUGCAGCCGACAAGAAAAAACAACCCUUAGACCGUAGAAGUACAUGGCUCCAGCUUCACGGUAGGCUGGGUACAUAGCCUCGCAGGUUCUUUUGCUCGACAUGUGAAUAUAAUCCAUCGGAGCUACUUCCCUGGUGGCCAAGAUUGAUUUACUCUUGAAGGUUCAUGCUGCUUUCAGCGGGUGAUGCUCACAUGUUUGAGCUAAACCCAGUCUGAUCAUUCGACCAUUCUAUGCAAGAUUGUUGGCUAUAGGACCAAGCCGUUGAACCUUGAAAUUUCCGUAUAAAUGUACAUAGGAGUUCUAUCACCUAUGUUCUGUAAUGUAGUAUACUUACGACAUGCAUAUAUACUUCAAAAUUUGUAUUGACCAAUUCAGUACCACAAAAUAGGUAAACACAAGUGUCACUGGAAUUUGGAUAAGGCUAUUCCGGUGAUUCCCAUUGUCCACAAUAUGUUUUGUAAUAUACUUAUGACAUUAUUACUAUGAUGGUUAUAUGAUGGUUAUAAUACUGUCUCGCUUUUGCCUUUGCGCCGGGGCGCAGAUGGGGUGCCAUUUGAUGUCUGUUGUCAAUGGAGAUCGACCAUGAUGAUGGCGGCAUAUGAAUGAAGAUGACAAUGCUUUGGAUGAUGCUAAUAGGUACAACGAUAUGGAGGUGGGUCAAAUUCCUCCCAUGAGCAAGCAGAAUCUCUGAUACUGGUUAAGGUGAGCUUCUCUGCCGUGAUUAUUUCUUCUUCUGAUGUGUUCUUCUCAUUCAGUAUUGUAAUUUAUUUUCUGGUUUGUUUCCCCAAACAUGAGGAGUUCAUAUAUGGGAAAGUCUAAAAGAGGAAUAAGCCACGGUACAAAAUUUAUUAAGAAGAAGCUGAAGGUGUCAUAUCCGCCUCUUGCUUUCCGGAAGAAACCAUGGGAUAUUUGGUAUGAUUUGACUGUGGCAUAUUAUGGAUAUCACAGAUUAUCCUUACCUUCACUACGACCCUAUAUUGGUCAUUCAACACCUCACUCCAAAGGCACCGCAAUCCCCAGUAUGUAUGGCAGUUGCAGCAGCUUGCUAAUUAGUACCCACCAAAGGAAGGGCAUGCUGGGCAUGGAAGAAGCAAGAUAUUAGAGAUGGGACACCAAGGAGAGGAAGGCAGGUCUCCAGAAUAAAAAAAGACAGUUCCAAGAGGAAGGAAAGAAGGAAAGUCUGCGGCUUUGGCAGUAUGGAGAUGUUAAAUCUGACGAGGAGCAGGUUUCAGGUGCAAGAAAAGCGGGAGGCCGUCGGUAGAUGAGAGCAGAUUACGCAAGACAGUGUUCAUAGUGUACUGAAAAUGGUCAUGAUUACCUGUGAUGUUUUGGACGCUCCCAGUAGAACUCAGCCGAAACUAUAUGAAGUGACAGGGCUACAUUUAUGCAGUUAGAAGAAGCCAAUGCUGAACGUUCUUAGUUUGAGCAGUAUUUGCUACUUCAUUCAGUUAUUACAUCUUUAGAGUGGAGAGCUAAACUACAUUCUUUCGCCCUUACGAUUAACAAGGUUGUUUCUCUGUGCACUAUAUUUUGUUGUUAUGAGGCAUUCAAA